rnacentral:rRNA from 1 species
GACAGAGGGUGCAAACGUUGCUCGGAAUUACUGGGCGUAAAGGGAGCGUAGGCGGACUGUUAAGUUAGAGGUGAAAGCCCAGGGCUCAACCUUGGAAUUGCCUUUGAUACUGGCAGUCUUGAGUACGGAAGAGGUAUGUGGAACUCCGAGUGUAGAGGUGAAAUUCGUAGAUAUUCGGAAGAACACCAGUGGCGAAGGCGACAUACUGGUCCGUUACUGACGCUGAGGCUCGAAAGCGUGGGGAGCAAACAGG